rnacentral:lncRNA from 1 species
GAUGAACCAAUUGGUAUGUAAGAUAAGUUUGACAGUUUUGAUUGGUGGUCAUUAAUUGGGAGCUACUUGCAUAGAUUGAGUUUAUGGUGAGUUAAUGGCAUAUCCCUCCCACCGAUCUUACUUACUUGGCGAAUGAGGUCAAUCAGCUUUUGGUUCGAUUGCUUAUUGAUUCGUACUAACCCAUGCUGCAUAGGUUGAUCAGUAUGACUGAUUUAGAUGCCU